UACGAGGGGUGCAAGCGUUGCUCGGAAUUAUUGGGCGUAAAGAGCUCGUAGGCGGUCUGUUACGUCUGUUGUGAAAACCCAGGGCUUAACCCUGGGCUUGCAGUGGGUACGGGCAGACUAGAGUGCGGUAGGGGAGAUCGGAAUUCCUGGUGUAGCGGUGAAAUGCGCAGAUAUCAGGAGGAACACCGGUGGCGAAGGCGGAUCUCUGGGCCGUAACUGACGCUGAGGAGCGAAAGCAUGGGGAGCGAACAGG
rnacentral:rRNA from 1 species